rnacentral:rRNA from 1 species
GAUGAACGCUGGCGGCGUGCCUAAUACAUGCAAGUCGAGCGAAUGGAUUAAGAGCUUGCUCUUAUGAAGUUAGCGGCGGACGGGUGAGUAACACGUGGGUAACCUGCCCUUAAGACUGGGAUAACUCCGGGAAACCGGGGCUAAUACCGGAUAACCUUUUGAACCGCAUGGUUCGAAAUUGAAAGGCGGCUUCGGCUGUCACUUAUGGAUGGACCCGCGUCGCAUUAGCUAGUUGGUGAAGUAACGGCUCACCAAGGCAACGAUGCGUAGCCGACCUGAGAGGGUGAUCGGCCACACUGGGACUGAGACACGGCCCAGACUCCUACGGGAGGCAGCAGUAGGGAAUCUUCCGCAAUGGACGAAAGUCUGACGGAGCAACGCCGCGUGAGUGAUGAAGGCUUUCGGGUCGUAAAACUCUGUUGUUAGGGAAGAACAAGUGCUAGUUGAAUAAGCUGGCACCUUGACGGUACCUAACCAGAAAGCCACGGCUAACUACGUGCCAGCAGCCGCCGUAA